UCUCCUCUUACUGUCGCCAUGACGACGGUUCAACCUCCAACCACAGUCAUCUUCACUUCCUGUAUCAGGAAACGUUACAGCAACGAGGAGGAAGUAAAAAUGUUAACACCACAUUGAAAUUCCUGUUGACAAACGGGAAAAAAACAGAAAGGCAAACUCAUCCGCCGCCGAUGUGACAACGUACGUACGCAGUGAGUUUCGGAAGUGGAUGGAGAUCCAGCAGACGGGUUGUGACUUUGUCUCUGUAUAACGUUGAUGUCAUGUGUGGAGCGCAAUUUAUGGAAAACUCACCUGACUACAGAUCUACAGAUUAAAUCAAAACACAGAACAGUUUCACACCAAACUGCAGUGAAUUAAAGGUAGAAAACAGAACUCUCAUCUUGCUCGUGGGCUCUGUGCUGCCGGGAUUCAGACGGUCAACCCUCCAGCAGUGUCCUCCCUCCUGCCGGGCGUCUGAGCCCCUCUGCUGCCCUCCUGAAGAGGAGAAUUAUCUGCGUCUUUAUGGAUUUAUGGGAGAUUUAUUGUUUUACACUGAUGAGUAUUUAGUUUAGUCUGCUGCCGUAAAAUCACAUAAAAGCCACAAUAAUUCUCAUCACACACACACACACACACACACACACACACACACACACACACACACACACACACACACACACACACACGAGGAGUAUUUGUGUUUUCAAGUGUUUGAUAGAUGUUAUAAUGAUGUUAUAUUGACGUUAUAUUGAUGUUAUAUUGAUGUUGAAUUGUGUGAGCGGCUCCUGGUUUCACACUUUUUAUGGAUUUAUAUGUUUGUUUGUUUUUUAUGAAAUAAAAAAAGAGUUAUUUCAUUCUUUAUUAAAUUUUGAGCUAAAAAUAAAAUGUUACAUUCACAUUUUAAAACUUUGUUACCUUUUGUAAAGUGUUUGGUUGUUUAAUGUUUGUUUAACAUGAUGAUAACAGCUUGUUUUCAUUCUAUCAAAAUAAAAAAUACAGUUUUGUUCUAUUUGCAUUCACAAAUCAAAGUAAAACAUCUUUUCAAACCAAUCUCGACAUUAACACUUAACAUAUUCGCUCCAACUCUGACACACUCUGAAUUUAAGUUUUAACAUUAAUACAGAAAAUGAAUGUUUUUGUUAUAAUUUUUUUGUUCUACUUUUUAUUUAUUCAACUUUUUUUUUAUUAUCAAAUUUAAAAAAAAACUGUUUUAACUUGGUGUCAGGUUUGUUCCUCAUGAAGCUCAAAAUGUAAAUAGAUAUUCACCAGGAAGUGAAACACACCAACACAGUUGCAUCAUGCUACAUAAUAAAAGUGCCAUAUAAGAUGAUGCAGUAUGUGGCAGCUGUGAAGCGAAAGUCAGUGUUUGGACUUUUCCAGAGGAAUAUUUCAGGAUUUCUGGAUUUAAUUAGAUUAAUAGAUCUAAUG